rnacentral:snRNA from 1 species
AUCGUCUCUGCGCAGUUAGUGAGGUUCUAACGGAGGCGCGUCUAUUGCUGGUGGAAAAUUAUUUCCAAACUCCAAACCCCCUCGUAGGCCUGGGUGCUGCACAGGCUAUCGAGAAUUUCUGGAAGGAUUUCAUUU